UACGUAGGGCCCGAGCGUUGUCCGGAAUCAUUGGGCGUAAAGAGCGUGUAGGCGGCUUGUUAAGUCUUGCGUGAAAUCUCGGGGCUCAACCCCGAGCGGUCGUGAGAAACUGGCAGGCUAGAGUGCGGGAGAGGAGAGUGGAAUUCCCGGUGUAGCAGUGAAAUGCGUAGAGAUCGGGAGGAACAUCUGUGGCGAAGGCGACUGCCUGGACCAGCACUGACACUGAGGCACGAAAGCGUGGGGAGCAAACAGG
rnacentral:rRNA from 1 species